CAGUCGCCGCGGGAAUACGAAGGGGGCUAGCGUUGCUCGGAAUGACUGGGCGUAAAGGGCGCGUAGGCGGUUCGUACAGUCGGAUGUGAAAUUCCUGGGCUUAACCUGGGGGCUGCAUUCGAUACGUGCGGGCUUGAGUGUGGAAGAGGGUUGUGGAAUUCCCAGUGUAGAGGUGAAAUUCGUAGAUAUUGGGAAGAACACCGGUGGCGAAGGCGGCAACCUGGUCCAUGACUGACGCUGAGGCGCGAAAGCGUGGGGAGCAAACAGGAUUAGAUACCCGCGUAGUCCCUGUCUCUUAUAU
rnacentral:rRNA from 1 species